AUCAGAUCUGGAUGUGGGGAGUGUGGAACCCAGAUGUUCAGAGGGAGAUGAUGCCACAUCUGGUCCAGCUGAUGGAAGGUCUUGAAGUUCUCUGACUGGCCUCGACUGAAGAUGGUCGUCUCAUUGGAUUUAAGGUUCAGAUGCUCAGUAACAAACUCCACCAAUGAGCCAACAGGGAAGCUUUAGGUUUAUUAAAUGUUGCUAUGAAGGUUUCGCUGUUUUUCUUUGUGAAUACAAUGUGCUCCACCUGAAACUUGAACUAGAACUUAGAAGUAAAUCCUUCCAUCUGAAAGGAUUUAGUUGCAUUAAUAACCUCAUAACAUUCUAAUUUUUAUUCCAGUCUUGGUUGGAAAUGGAAUCUCUGUAUUGAUUCAGGUAAAAACUGAACUUCACAGCAUGUUGGAGCAGAACAACCAGAUGAAAACUGUGAUGGUGUUGGAUUGUCAGACCGUAAUGUUGCAGCUCAAAGCAGCUUUUCUAGCUCAGUUCAUUCUGACAUUCAGCUAUGAAUCAACACAGCAGAUGGUGAUCCAUGCUGUGGAAGUCUCACAUCUCCUGAUUUAAUGGAGCUGCUUUGCACUUUUUACACUGUUUAUUCACCAACACUUUAUUUAAUAAAAGUCCCAUCUAGUUUUUAUGAGGAAUGUGAUGUUUUAAUUUCUCUGUGAAUAACUGCAGUCUAAUGCAACAGCUGGAGUUGUAACAUCUGUCCUGAUAUUGAUCAUGAAAUAUUGAUCAGAAUACUGAUGGUUAACAGUCAUCUCUGAAAUUUUACAUUAAAAUCUUUACUUGUGUUUUGAACUUUGGUAAGAAGCAGAAACGUUAGCGUUGCCAUGGAUACAUGAGUGUUAAAUUCUGUUCAUGUUUUUAUUUUGGGAAAUGCAGUCCAGUUGCAGAAUGUGGAGGAAUUUAGUCUCACAAUCACAGACAACAAAUAUUAUCUGAAAGUCGGGUUAUUGUUGUUUAUCAGCACAAUACAAAAAGAUUAAUGCUAGAAAUAUUCCAGUUAAUACUCUGGAAUAUCAUGAUUUAUGUAAAUUUACCUCAAUAAUAUGAAUGUUCAGGUUAAGAUUGUACAGUGAUAUUUAUUAUGUAAGUUUAGCUGAUUAAAGUUUAGGACUCUGCACUAAAAUAUUAUUUAAGUUGACAUCAUUAUUAUAAUAUUUAGGGUCAGACUCUACAGUAUUGAGAUUAAGAAAUCAAAUAUUCUAUAAAAUGUAAAUACACUGAACUCAUUUGGAUAUAUUAGAAUCUACAAUAUUAUUUAUGACACAAAUCUAUCUAAAUCAAAAUUUUAAUCAUUUUUACUGCAAACAUUUACUGGACUGAUUUAAAUAUUAAAAUCACUCCUUUCUAAUCCUCUGCUGUACAUUCAAACCUGAGGCCUUAAAUAGAAACACACAAGUAUCUGAUUGAAGGAACUUCUGCAGAGUCCUGGUUCCAGAACAUGAUGAUAGAAUUAUAGACAAACUUUAACAAAAGCUGCCUGAGAGUUUACAGGUUUUUAUCUUAGAUUUCUUCACUAAUUUAAUGAGUUAUCAGCAAAAAUCAAGUGUUUAUUUGAUGAACUUCAUUUCCUAAAACAUCCAGAAUUGGAGCUCAUAUCUUUGGCAGCUGUAAAGUUUCUGCUCCUUCAAAGUUCACAACACAAUGAAUGAAUUCCUAAAACACUCUCAAUGCUGGAGAGCGUUUGAUGCUGAAGCAGUGAUCAGUUUUUCUGUUUCUUCUCUGGAGAUGCACAAUGAGGGACGUCUGCAGAG
ensembl:lncRNA